AGGGUUUGAUUAUGGCUCAGGAUGAACGCUGGCGGCGUGCUUAACACAUGCAAGUCGAACGAAGCACUUAAGUUUGAUUCUUCGGAUGAAGACUUUUGUGACUGAGUGGCGGACGGGUGAGUAACGCGUGGGUAACCUGCCUCAUACAGGGGGAUAACAGUUAGAAAUGACUGCUAAUACCGCAUAAGACCACAGCACCGCAUGGUGCAGGGGUAAAAACUCCGGUGGUAUGAGAUGGACCCGCGUCUGAUUAGCUAGUUGGUGGGGUAACGGCCUACCAAGGCGACGAUCAGUAGCCGACCUGAGAGGGUGACCGGCCACAUUGGGACUGAGACACGGCCCAA
rnacentral:rRNA from 1 species